CUAGUCAUGCAGGUGGUGUUUGGGAACGUCAGAUCAGAACUGUGAAAAACGUGCUGAAUGCCACCCUUGCGCAAUGCACAGGCCGAAUUGAUGAUGCUUCCCUAAGAACACUGUUUUAUGAAGCCAUGGCUAUCGUUAAUAGCCGCCCAUUGACAGUGGAUGGAAUCAAUGAUCCUCAGAUGCCAGAGCCUAUAACACCUAAUCAUCUCAUUAUGAUGAAAUCUAAAGUUCCUCUUCCUCCGCCAGGAGUAUUUGUGAAGGAGGAUCUGUAUGCAACCAAGAGGUGGAGACGAGUUCAGUAUCUGAUAGAACAGUUCUGGAGUCGUUGGAAAAGAGAGUAUCUGCUCAAUAUAUCCACAAGACAGAAAUGGCAUAUACCCCAACGCAACCUCAAAGUGAAUGAUAUCGUUAUUAUCAAAGAUGACAACCUCCCGAGAAACCAGUGGCAACUAGGUCGAGUGGUGGAGGCUGCUCAAGGCAGUGACGGCCUAGUUCGUCGAGUCAAAGUGCAAGUUGGGGAACGAAAAUCUCAAGAAAAACAAAAUGCCCCCAUUAAACCUUCAGUUAUUGAGCGACCAGUUCAAAAAUUGGUACUUCUCUUAGAGAGCUGAUUUCAACAAACUGAGUGGCAAUUUGUGAGUACGCUGCUGUAUUGUGUAUGAUCUAUACCUAUGCACAUUUAAUAGCACUGCUUGAAGUUAUUCGUUUAGUAGGUUCAAGAAAUCCUGUGUAAAUUCAUUUACUCCUGUAUUAGUUCAUUCAUUACAACAGGAUUUGGUGGGAGUGUAAAUGCCUACUAAAUGUGAUGAACAUUCUCCUUUUAUAAUGAGUGUUUAUGGGUGGCUCCGGGUGUGCUCGCAACUUUCAGUUUGUUCUUGCCGUGUUGCGCUUUUAUUUUGAAAGGUUAUGUUUACGGUUGCCAUGCCAACACUCUGCGGCCGUCUGGUUUGGCUCUACGUGUAGAUAACGUUGUGAGGUGGAAGACGAAGAAAGCCAAGUGUGCAGAGCUCGCUAGCGGAGAGGUCCGGGUCUAAAACUUGAUUAGCGCCCUUGGAGAGCGGAAUGAGUUUUCACGGUGUCAAGAUGGCAAAGUGUCACAGUACCACUGUCUGGUGCUUACCAAAGAAAGAGAAAUAAACGACACCCGUUUGAAACUCUACGUGUUUGGUUUAUACCAUCCAAGGGGCCG